UAAAUUUUACAAUAAAAUACUUCUGAAUAAGACCCAGAAUAAACUAAGGAGCAUCGUUGCGGGAAAUUUUUUUCCUAGCCAUGUUUCCCAAAGGUGGACAAACCAGGAAACAUUGUUUCCUAGCCAUGUUCCCCAAAGGUGGACAAACCAGGAAACAUUGUUUCCUAGCCACGUUUCCCAAAGGUGGACAAACCAGGAAACAUUGUUUCCUAGCCAUGUUUCCCAAAGGUGGACAAACCAGGAAACAUUGUUUCCUAGCCAUGUUUCCCAAAGGUGGACAAACCAGGAAACAUUGUUUCCUAGCCAUGUUUCCCAAAGGUGGACAAACUAGGAAACAUUGUUUCCUAGCCAUGUUUCCCAAAGGUGGACAAACCAGGAAACAUUGUUUCCUAGCCAUGUUUCCCAAAAGCGGUCAAACCAGGAAACAUUGUUUCCUAGCCAUGUUUCCCAAAGGUGGACAAACCAG
rnacentral:lncRNA from 1 species